UAAUCUGUAUAAUGAAAAUUAUCAUUUAAUUAUGGUAGAUUUAUAUCUGAUUGCUCAUAAUUAUCUAUUAUCUCAAGCUCGGCUAUUAUCUCUGGAUUCAAGAGAACUCAUUCUUGAGUUUUAUUUC
rfam:Populus trichocarpa isolate Nisqually-1 chromosome 6, whole genome shotgun sequence.